rnacentral:tRNA from 1 species
GCCUCAGUAGCUCAGUGGAUAGAGCAGUGGUCUUCGGAACCAAAGGUCGGGGGUUCGAAUCCCUCCUGGGGCA